rnacentral:rRNA from 1 species
AUGACUGCAUCAACAAUUGCUCAUGAGAAGACAUUCUGCAUCAAGAAGAUGAAGUUGUUACAUACUUGUGGUGCACAUGGAGAAAAAACAAAAGUGACAGUUGACUGGAUGGCCAGAACCUGUGAGCAGCAACUGAGGGAUAAUCCAAGGGCUGGUGUUGAUGCAAUUUUAAAAAGAACAAAGACUAAGUAUGGGCUUGAAGUGUCAAAGACCGAGGCCUACAGGGCAAGGUCAUUGGCCACUGAAGUGGUGGAAGGUGACAUGAAGGGACAAUACACAAGGUUUAGGGAUUAUCUUCAAGCUGUGCUUGAUACCAACCCUGGGAGCAGAUGCAUUGUGACUAUCACAGAGCUUGAGCUCCAUCCUAGUCCAAAUCCUAGGUUCCACUACAUGUUCUACUAUCUGAAUGCUUCAAAAGAAGGUUUCUUGAAUGGGUGUAGGCCCUUUAUAGAUGGUUGCUUUAUCAAGCUUUCUACUGGGCAACAGAUACUUGUUGCCACUGGUAGGGAUGGGAAUAACAACAUAUUCCCUAUUGCAAUUGGUAUUGUUGAUAAGGAGGACAAGGAUAGUUGUACUUGGUUUCUUAGCCAGUUGAGAGCUUGCAUUGGAGAGGGGAACAAGUGGGGCACGGGCACAUUCACAAUCAUCUUUGAUAGACAAAAGGGGAUGUUGAAUGCAAUUCAAGCUGUGUUCUCACACUCACCUCAAAGAUAUUGUCUUAGACAUAUCUAUGCAAAUUUCCAGUCAGCAGGCUACAGGAGUGAGGAGUUGAAGAAGCAUAUCGACAAUGCUGCAUAUUCAUACACAAAGAAUGGUUUUGAGGUUGCAAUGAAUGAACUGAAAAAGGAGGAUGAAGAUGCUUGGAAGUGGCUUUGUAAUAUCCCUAAAGAGACUUGGGCAAGGCAUGCUAUGGAUCACACAUGCAAGACAGACCUAGUAGUCAACAAUCUUAGUGAAGUAUUUAACAAAGAUGAUACUAGAUGUGAGGAACAAGCCAAUAAGGAGCUGUGUAGAUGGAUUCAGAACUAA